rnacentral:lncRNA from 1 species
GGGAGGAGCUGUGAGUGCUAGGGAAGAUGAUGACUUAAUUGAUAACCUUAAAGAAGCUCAGUACAUCAGAGCUAAAAGUGUAGAGCAAGCCUUCAGAGCCAUUGACCGAGGAGAUUACAAUCUGGAAGGCUACAGAGACAAUGCUUACAAAGACAGCCUGGAAGCACUGAAACACACACUUGUUAGCACCUUGCAUUUAUUCUGAAAUUAUGAAAGUUUUGAAAUUUCAACCAGGAUUACCUUUUCAUAACCUGGAAAAUGGAACCGGAUAUUUUAGUACAAUGGUCUUUUGGGAAUAAAUCGUGGGAUUGAACUUCAUUCAGAUGUGGUGGAGUAUGCCAAAGAAAAACUGGAGAGCUUCAUCAAAAAUAGUGAUCGCUUUCCUAAUCAGCUCCUAGACCUAGACUAUCUGUAUAAGAGGGAAGUUACAGGGCAAGGCUUGGUCACCUUGAUCUCCUAGCUACUUUUCAAAAGAAGUACAUGGGCAAGGUCCCUGCUGUGAAUGAAAUCGUCUGUCCAUCUGAAGAUGAAGAUAAUCCAACAUGCACCUAAAAAGAAAGCCACUGCCAAGAUUUGAAUUCUGUGAAAUUGCAUUUGUGGUCGGGAAUUGCCUUCAGAUAGCUUCUGACAGUCAUCAGUAUGGUCGAAUUUACUGUGGAGUUGGAGUCCGAAAGAUCACAAAACUACAUGAAGAUCUUUACUCAAAGUUGGGGACAUAUGGAUCAUGCCUAUGGAGGUUGAGUUGAUUGCGUGUACUGGACAAAACACUUGGGAAAGUAAAAAUAUCCUUGUGGUUUCCUUUGAAUCACUAGUAAGACCUAGUAAGAAUGAUAACAGCACAUCAUUAUCAUGGGGCUUCUCCCCAUCCCCAGUGUGCUAUCAGGAAUCUCCAAGACUUGGCUGGUAUUUACAUUUAGCAUACACUUAGAAACUUUAUAAAUGAUGAGAUGCAGGCUAAGGGGAUUCCACAAAAGGCUCCAAUGAAGAGGAAAAGAAAGAUAAUUAAACAGAAUCAAUAGUUAUAUAUUUGUGGGUAUCCAGCUUAUCUCUCAGUCUCUAGACAGUAAAGAGGAUGAAAAAAUAGAAGACAGCAAAGAAGAAAAGAAAGAUCACAGUAAAGCCAUGAAGCAUGAGUAGCCACCUCAGAACCUACUGAAGGAAAAGAUAAGGAAGCUGCCACUCCCCUAGUCUUUAAAGGCUACCUUGAUAUAUUUUAGAGACAAAUAA